rnacentral:rRNA from 1 species
AUGCUUUGGGGUGGGGUGACUGCGUACCUUUUGUAUAAUGGGUCAGCGACUUAUAUUCUGUAGCAAGGUUAACCGAAUAGGGGAGCCGGAGGGAAACCGAGUCUUAAUUGGGCGUUAAGUUGCAGGGUAUAGACCCGAAACCCGGUGAUCUAGCCAUGGGCAGGUUGAAGGGUGGGUAACACUAACUGGAGGACCGAACCGACUAAUGUUGAAAAAUUAGCGGAUGACCUGUGGCUGGGGGUGAAAGGCCAAUCAAACCGGGAGAUAGCUGGUUCUCCCCGAAAGCUAUUUAGGUAGCGCCUCGUGAAUUCAUCUCCGGGGGUAGAGCACUGUUUCGGCUAGGGGGCCAUCCCGGCUUACCAACCCGAUGCAAACUGCGAAUACCGGAGAAUGUUAUCACGGGAGACACACGGCGGGUGCUAACGUCCGUCGUGAAGAGGGAAACAACCCAGACCGCCAGCUAAGGUCCCAAAGUCAUGGUUAAGUGGGAAACGAUGUGGGAAGGCCCAGACAGCCAGGAUGUUGGCUUAGAAGCAGCCAUCAUUUAAAGAAAGCGUAAUAGCUCACUGGUCGAGUCGGCCUGCGCGGAAGAUGUAACGGGGCUAAACCAUGCACCGAAGCUGCGGCAGCGACACUGUGUGUUGUUGGGUAGGGGAGCGUUCUGUAAGCCUGUGAAGGUGUGUCGUGAGGCAUGCUGGAGGUAUCAGAAGUGCGAAUGCUGACAUAAGUAACGAUAAAGCGGGUGAAAAGCCCGCUCGCCGGAAGACCAAGGGUUCCUGUCCAACGUUAAUCGGGGCAGGGUGAGUCGACCCCUAAGGCGAGGCCGAAAGGCGUAGUCGAUGGGAAACGGGUUAAUAUUCCCGUACUUGGUGUUACUGCGAAGGGGGGACGGAGAAGGCUAUGUUGGCCGGGCGACGGUU